UGACGUCACCUACAUUCGCAUCGUCAUCGUCAUCAUCACUGGUGAAUUCACCAGUGAUGAUCACGAUGACGAUGCAAUAUCGGUGACGUCAU
rnacentral:pre_miRNA from 1 species